UACGUAGGGGGCGAGCGUUAUCCGGAUUCAUUGGGCGUAAAGCGCGCGUAGGCGGUCUUUUAAGCGGGACCUCUAAUCUCAGGGCUCAACCUUGAGCCGGGUUCCGAACUAAAAGACUCGAGUGUGGUAGGGGAGAUCGGAAUUCCCGGUGUAGCGGUGGAAUGCGCAGAUAUCGGGAAGAACACCGAUGGCGAAGGCAGAUCUCUGGGCCAUUACUGACGCUGAGGCGCGAAAGCUAGGGGAGCAAA
rnacentral:rRNA from 1 species